rnacentral:miRNA from 1 species
AAAGUCUUACUGCAGUUUGAGG